GUGGGGAAUAUUGGGCAAUGGGCGCAAGCCUGACCCAGCAACGCCGCGUGAAGGAAGAAGGCUUUCGGGUUGUAAACUUCUUUUACCAGGGACGAAACAAAUGACGGUACCUGGUGAAUAAGCCACGGCUAACUACGUGCCAGCAGCCGCGGUAAUACGUAGGUGGCGAGCGUUAUCCGGAUUUAUUGGGUGUAAAGGGCGUGUAGGCGGGACAGCAAGUCAGAUGUGAAAACCAGAGGCUCAACCUCUGGCCUGCAUUUGAAACUGUUGUUCUUGAGUGUCGGAGAGGUAAUCGGAAUUCCGUGUGUCGCGGUGAAAUGCAUAGAUAUUAGGAGGAACACCAGUGGCGAAGGCGGCUUUCUGGACUGUAACUGACACUGAGGCACGAAAGCGUGGGGAGCAAACAGGAUUAGAUACCCGAGUAGUCC
rnacentral:rRNA from 1 species